AGGGCGGAAUACGAUAUGUCCAUUUAUCUUUCGGAGGGUCAAUAUUUCGAUUGGGAAUG
rnacentral:sRNA from 12 species